AUUGAACGCUGGCGGCAUGCCUUACACAUGCAAGUCGAACGGCAGCACGGGAGCAAUCCUGGUGGCGAGUGGCGAACGGGUGAGUAAUAUAUCGGAACGUGCCCAGUCGUGGGGGAUAACGCAGCGAAAGUUGUGCUAAUACCGCAUACGAUCUAUGGAUGAAAGCGGGGGAUCGCAAGACCUCGCGCGAUUGGAGCGGCCGAUAUCAGAUUAGGUUGUUGGUGAGGUAAAAGCUCACCAAGCCUGCGAUCUGUAGCUGGUCUGAGAGGACGACCAGCCACACUGGAACUGAGACACGGUCCAGACUCCUACGGGGGGCAGCAGUGGGGGAAGUUUUAGGUACGAAUGGACGGAAAGUACUGAUCCA
rnacentral:rRNA from 1 species